CCGCCGCCACCCACCGACUGGCGACAGAGAGCACCACUUCUCUCUCCCCAAUCAGUGUGAUUGGGGGACACCUGUUGGAUGGAGCAGGAGCCAUCUUAAAAGGGCCACGAGGACAGACAGAGGAGACCGGGAACCAUGGAGAGCUAGGAAGCCCAUGAGACGACAACGCAUUAGAGGCUCACGGAGACCCUAACAGGUUAUUGCCCUCAGGAAGGAGAUACGAGGUACCAAUUUUCAAGAAGGUUAGACGAAAGUCUUUUGUCCAUCAAUCGACUUUGAUGCUAAACCGGAGAUAGGCGAAGUGGUGGACAAUGUGCUCUCGACUAUCUGUACCCAUGUAUGUACAUUUGUUGUGUUUCAAUGUGUCAUGUCAAUGUGUGCAAUUCAUGUUUUCUGUUUUUACAUGCAACGGCUGCUGGGUCGCAAGACAAAUUUCAGCACUGCUGACGAAUAAAGU